AAAUCAAGCUUCAAACCUUCAAAAUUUCUUAGAGAUUUUUAGUGAACCAAUAGAGGAAUAAUAUAGAGAGAGUCUAGUUUCAUAUGGAGACGAGUUAUGUUCAUGUUGGAGGAGAGAAAAAAUCAAGCUAGGAUUUGAAAUCAAGAGAACAAGAAAGAAAUUGAAAAGGUGAAUCACGUGAUAAGGAGAAGGGGAAAACAAGUGGUUCAACGUUGGAUAUAGGUGAAAUAUUAAACUUAAGCCUUUGAAAGAAGAUCGUCAUCAACAUAUCUCAUCACAUCAUCAAGGCUUAGGAGAAAGAGUAUGAAAUUUAACUCAUGGUAUGGAUUAUGGCAUGUACAUAAGCCCAAUUCGAGUAUCUAUAUCUUAAUGCAAGUGAAAGUACUUAGAGAAGCUUAAAUGUUUUGAUGGC